GGCUCUAUUUAGGAGAUUAAAUGAUACCAUAACAUAGUCGAUAGUGGAAGCUCCUGCAUUUGAUAUAAAAGUAAAUUCCCCACAGGUCUCCCCAUUCUUGCGCCCAUUUAGUAUGACCAGGUCCAGCUUGUUAGAAAGCCGCAAUAGGCACAAACCUGCAUAAUUACAUCCCUUGUCUUUUGAGAGUCUGGUGGGUAUAAGGUGGUUUUCUUCCACAAUAGGUGGCGAGUCGUGGAAGUGUGCAUAUAGUGCUUCGUCAGACUGGCCAAUUCUGGCAUUAAGAUCACCAGCCACUAGCACUGAAGCUGGGGGGUUUGAGUCAUCAAACCAUCAAUGUAUGUUUCCAGCCCAUGCCAGGUGUUUUUAAUCAGCUGCUUGCCUCUUUGGGGGGGAAGAUAUACAUUAAUCAGUAGCAGGGUGAAGAAUCUACUUUUCACUAGUAAGGCCAUAGCCAGGUGUUUCAGUGUCUCUAGCUUUACUAAGGACGCCCUCAACCUUGUAGAUAUUAAAAUGCCUAGGCCACCCUUGACUCUCCCCCCUUUAGUGCUUGGGGAACCUGUGAGGGACAUUGAGGAAAAGCCGUUAACUUCUAGGUCUCCUGUGAGCCAUGUCUCCUGUAAAAAUACUAUGUCGUAGCCUUGGAUAAAUUUAACAAAGGAUGGGUCAGCUGCCUUUUUUUGCCAUCCUGCGAUAUUCCAUGAUAAAAAGCUAAGGUUGGCUUUACCAAAAUCCACUCCUUGUCAAUUAUCUUCCAAGGUACUGUUAGAGUUUCCCAUUCUACGUGGCAGCCGUCUGUCAUCCUUGCAUGGAGAGCUGCCCAGGAGUUCUAUGGUGUCAGAUGGUAAAUGUAAAGUGCUCACAUUGGUAGACACUGGGCCUUUGCUGUACAAGGCCUCCUCCUGGGGGUAUUCUACCUGGUUGUAGCCUAAUUCCGCUUCAUCUAAGUAUCUCAUUUUGGACCAAAAGCCUGGUGAGGUUUCCUUGGGCAUGUUUUUCCUUAUAGGGAGCGAUGCAUUGUUCUCCUUUGUAAGUUGUACUUUCUUGAUUGCAGGUAGAUUAAUCUCUGCCUUUAUCUGAAGGUUACGUGGUCGACGAGCCGCUGAAUCGGGUUCUUGUGAGAUGAUUAUUUUGGAAGGGCUCUUGCUCUUACUUUGGACGUCCACCUUAGUUUCCUUAUG